rnacentral:snoRNA from 2 species
GUAGAUGAUGAAGGCUGGUAUUUUUGAUAAAGUGAUAUAAGACACCAAAGCUGA